UAUCAAACAGGAAGCACAUUCAUAAAGAUUCACUCAUAUUUUAUAGAAGCUUGUUUCCGCCACAGAAUAAAAUAAUAAAAAAGAUAAUUGCGAGUUUUAUCUCACAAUUCUUUUUUUCUUGCAUUUGCAAGUUUAUGUAUUGCCAUUCUGAGUUUAUAGAUAUAAACUCGGUAUUGCGUGAAAACAGUCAGAAUUGUGAGAUAUAAACUCGCAGUGGCAAGAAAACAGUAAAAAUUGCAAGAUAUAAACCAGCAGUUGUGAGGAAAAGUCAGAAUUGUGAGAUAUAAACUUGUAGUUGUGAGAAAAAAAUUAGAAUUGUGAGAAACUUGUAGUUGUGAGAAAAGGUCAGAAUUGUGAGAUAUAAACUUGUAGUUGUAUGAAAAAUGUCAGAAUUGUGAGCUAAACUCCGUUGCGAGAAAAAGUCAGAAUUGUGAAAUAAAUUUGUAGUUGUGAGAAAAAAGUCAGGGAUAUAAACUUGUAGUUGUGAGAAAAAAGUUAGAAUUGUGGGAUAUAAACUUGUAGUUGUGAGAAAAAGUCAGAAUUGUGAAAUUUGUAGUUGUGAGAAAAAAGUCAGGGAUAUAAACUUGUAGUUGCGAGAAAAAAGUCAGAAUUGUGGAAUAUAAACUUGUAGUUGUGAGAAAAAAGUCAGAAUUGAGAUAUAAACUUGUAGUUGCGAGAAGUCAGAAUUGUGAGCUAAACUCAGUUGCAAGAAAAAAGUCAGAAUUGUGGGGAAAAAAGUCAGAAUUGAGAUAUAAACUUGUAGUUGCGAGAAAAAAGUCAGAAUUGUGAGAGAUAAACUUGUGGGAAAAAAGUCAGAAUUGUGAGGGGAAAAAAGUCAGAAUUGUGGGAUAUAAACUUGUAGUUGUGAGGGGAAAAAAGUCAGAAUUGUGAGAUAUAAACUUGUGGGAAAAAAGUCAGAAUUGUGAGGGGAAAAAAAGUCAGAAUUGUGGGAUAUAAACUCGCAAUUGCAAAAAAGUCAGAAUUGUGAGAUAUAAACUUGUAGUUGUGAGAAAAAAAUUAGAAUUGUGAGAAACUUGUAGUUGUGAGAAAAGGUCAGAAUUGUGAGAUAUAAACUUGUAGUUGUAUGAAAAAUGUCAGAAUUGUGAGCUAAACUCCGUUGCGAGAAAAAGUCAGAAUUGUGAAAUAAAUUUGUAGUUGUGAGAAAAAAGUCAGGGAUAUAAACUUGUAGUUGUGAGAAAAAAUCAGAAUUGUGAAAUUUGUAGUUGUGAGAAAAAAGUCAGGGAUAUAAACUUGUAGUUGCGAGAAAAAAGUCAGAAUUGUGGAAUAUAAACUUGUAGUUGUGAGAAAAAAGUCAGAAUUGAGAUAUAAACUUGUAGUUGCGAGAAGUCAGAAUUGUGAGCUAAACUCAGUUGCGAGAAAAAAGUCAGAAUUGUGGGGAAAAAAGUCAGAAUUGAGAUAUAAACUUGUAGUUGCGAGAAAAAAGUCAGAAUUGUGAGAGAUGAACUUGUGGGAAAAAAGUCAGAAUUGUGAGGGGAAAAAAGUCAGAAUUGUGGGAUAUAAACUUGUAGUUGUGAGGGGAAAAAAGUCAGAAUUGUGAGAUAUAAACUUGUGGGAAAAAAGUCAGAAUUGUGAGGGGGAAAAAAAGUCAGAAUUGUGGGAUAUAAACUCGCAAUUGCAAAAAAGUCAGAAUUGUGAGAUAUAAACUUGUAGUUGCAAGAAAAAAGUCAGAAUUGUGAGAUAUAAACUUGUGGGAAAAAAGUCAGAAUUGUGAGGGGAAAAAAAGUCAGAAUUGUGAGAUAUAAACUUGUAGUUGCGAGAAAAAAGUCAGAAUUGUGGGAUAUAAACUUGUGAGAAAAAAAGUCAGAAUUGUGAGAUAUAAACUUGUAGUUGCGAGAAAAAAGUCAGAAUUGUGGGAUAUAAACUUAGAAUUGAGAG